GGGGCUCGGGCGUGAGCAAAAGCUGCCGAGCGUCUUAAGGCCUGGCCUCAGAAGUCACCUCGUGUCACCUCUGCUGCGUUGUGAGGGUCGAAGCACGUCACCGAGCCCAGCCACAGCCAAGGAGUCGGGAGAUAGGACACGUUGGUUUAGUUGGAGUGGUGCAGUCACGCUGUGGAAGGCCGUGUGCCCCAGGAUGGGGUGGGGGGGGGCCUUGAAACUGUAUUUUACCCUCCACCGAAGUACAGGUCUCCUCCAGUCUCUGGCCAAGGGCUUCCUUGAACCCUCUCCCCCAUGGCCAUGUCUUCCGUGCUCCUCGGCCACUCACGCCCGUGACCCUAACUCCCGGAUCUCACCGUCAGAGCAACCGCGGCCCCUCAUACCUUGGCUCCCGGCACCCCAGCCUCUGACCCCACUCCCACCUCUCCUGCCAUUCGGCACCAACAGGUCCUUGACCCCAGUGGGGCUGUGGGUAUGUCAAUUUUCUACAGACCGUCAGCCUCCUUAUACUGCCCACCAGCCUGACCCCACGGGCCAUUGCUCCGGUCUCCGUCCCCCACCCUCUUACCUCCACCCUCAGCUCUCAGGC
rnacentral:lncRNA from 1 species